AAUCAACGCUGGCGGCGUGCCUCAGACAUGCAAGUCGAACGAUUAAAGCUCUCUUCGGAGAGUGCAUAAAGUGGCGCACGGGUGAGUAACACGUAAGUAAUCUACCUUCGAGUGGGGAAUAACGUCCGGAAACGGACGCUAAUACCGCAUAAUGCAGCGGCAUCGCAAGAUGACAGUUGUUAAAGAUUUAUCGCUUGAAGAGGAGCUUGCGGCAGAUUAGCUAGUUGGUAAGGUAAUGGCUUACCAAGGCUACGAUCUGUAACCGGUCUAAGAGGACGGUCGGUCACACUGACACUGAAUAACGGGUCAGACUCCUACGGGAGGCAGCAGUCGGGAAUUUUGGGCAAUGGGCGAAAGCCUGACCCAGCAACGCCGCGUGAAGGAUGAAGUAUUUCGGUAUGUAAACUUCGAAAGAAUAGGAAGAAUCAAUGACGGUACUAUUUAUAAGGUCCGGCUAACUACGUGCCAGCCGCC
rnacentral:rRNA from 1 species